rnacentral:rRNA from 1 species
UACGUAGGGUGCGAGCGUUAAUCGGAAUUACUGGGCGUAAAGCGUGCGCAGGCGGUUUUGUAAGCCAGAUGUGAAAUCCCCGGGCUUAACCUGGGAAUGGCAUUUGGGACUGCAAGGCUGGAGUGCGGCAGAGGAGACUGGAAUUCCUGGUGUAGCAGUGAAAUGCGUAGAUAUCAAGAGGAAUACCGAUGGCGAAGGCAGGUCUCUGGGCUGACACUGACGCUCAUGCACGAAAGCGUGGGGAGCAAACAGG